rnacentral:rRNA from 1 species
AUUGAACGCUGGCGGCAGGCCUAACACAUGCAAGUCGAGCGGAUGAUGGGAGCUUGCUCCCGGAUUCAGCGGCGGACGGGUGAGUAAUGCCUAGGAAUCUGCCUGGUAGUGGGGGACAACGUUUCGAAAGGAACGCUAAUACCGCAUACGUCCUACGGGAGAAAGCAGGGGACCUUCGGGCCUUGCGCUAUCAGAUGAGCCUAGGUCGGAUUAGCUAGUUGGUGGGGUAAAGGCCUACCAAGGCGACGAUCCGUAACUGGUCUGAGAGGAUGAUCAGUCACACUGGAACUGAGACAAGGUCCAGACUCCUACGGGAGGCAGCAGUGGGGAAUAUUGGACAAUGGGCGAAAGCCUGAUCCAGCCAUGCCGCGUGCGUGAAGAAGGUCUUCGGAUUGUAAAGCACUUUAAGUUGGGAGGAAGGGCAGUAAGUUAAUACCUUGCUGUUUUGACGUUACCAACAGAAUAAGCACCGGCUAACUUCGUGCCAGCAGCCGCGGUAAUAC